AUGCAGCGAGCAGAUGUCCACAGAGCCAGAGCGAGAGCAGAGUUCUUACAGAGAGAGGGACGGAGGGAGCAGAGUUCUUACAGAGAGAGGGAGGGAGGGAGCAGAGUUCUUACAGAGAGAGGGAGGGAGGGAGCAGAGUUCUUACACACAGGGAGCAGAGCUCUUACAUACAGAGGGAGCAGAGUUCUUAGAGAGAGAGCAGAGUUCUUAGAGAGAGGGAGCAGAGUUCUUACACAGAGAGAGAGAGAGGGGAGAGCAGAGUUCUUACACACAGAGAGAGAGAGGGGGGGAGCAGAGUUCUUACACACACAGAGAGAGAGAGAGGGGGGAUCAGAGUUCUUACACACAGAUAGAGAGAGAGGGGGGGGAGCAGAGUUCUUAGAGCGAGAGAGGGAGCAGAGUUCUUACACACACAGAGAGAGCAGAGUUCUUACACACAGAGAGAGAGCAGAGUUCUUACAGGGAGAGGGAGCAGAGUUCUUACAGGGAGAGGGAGCAGAGUUCUUACAGGAGAGGGAGCAGAGUUCUUACAGGGAGAGGGAGCAGAGUUCUUACAGGGAGAGGGAGCAGAGUUCUUACAGGGAGAGGGAGCAGAGUUUUUACAGGGAGAGGGAGCAGAGUUUUUACAGGGAGAGGGAGCAGAGUUUUUACAGGGAGAGGGAGCAGAGUUUUUACAGGGAGAGGGAGCAGUUUUUACAGGGAGAGGGAGCAGAGUUUUUACAGGGAGAGGGAGCAGAGUUUUUACAGGGAGAGGGAGCAGAGUUUUUACAGGGAGAGGGAGCAGAGUUUUUACAGGGAGAGGGAGCAGAGUUUUUACAGGGAGAGGGAGCAGAGUUUUUACAGGGAGAGGGAGCAGAGUUUUUACAGGGAGAGGGAGCAGAGUUUUUACAGGGAGAGGGAGCAGAGUUUUUACAGGGAGAGGGAGCAGAGUUUUUACAGGGAGAGGGAGCAGAGUUUUUACAGGGAGAGGGAGCAGAGUUUUUACAGGGAGAGGGAGCAGAGUUUUUACAGGGAGAGGGAGCAGAGUUUUUACAGGGAGAGGGAGCAGAGUUUUUACAGGGAGAGGGAGCAGAGUUUUUACAGGGAGAGGGAGCAGAAUUUUUACAGGGAGAGGGAGCAGAGUUUUUACAGGGAGAGGGAGCAGAGUUUUUACAGGGAGAGGGAGCAGAGUUUUUACAGGGAGAGGGAGCAGAGUUUUUACAGGGAGAGCAGAGUUCUCUCUCCCUGCGGGAGCUUACAGACAGACAGAGCAAGAGAGAGAAUUGUUCUGACAGACAGAGAGAGAGAGCAGAGUUCUUACACACAGAGAGAGAGAGAGAGAGAGAGAGAGAGAAGGAGCAGAGUUCUUACACAGAGAGAGAGAGAGAGAGAGCGAGAGGGAGCAGAGUUCUUACACAGACACAGAGAGAGAGGGAGUAG
rnacentral:lncRNA from 8 species